rnacentral:rRNA from 1 species
AUUGAACGCUGGCGGCAGGCCUAACACAUGCAAGUCGAGCGGAUGAAGGGAGCUUGCUCCUGGAUUCAGCGGCGGACGGGUGAGUAAUGCCUAGGAAUCUGCCUGGUAGUGGGGGAUAACGUCCGGAAACGGGCGCUAAUACCGCAUACGUCCUGAGGGAGAAAGUGGGGGAUCUUCGGACCUCACGCUAUCAGAUGAGCCUAGGUCGGAUUAGCUAGUUGGUGGGGUAAAGGCCUACCAAGGCGACGAUCCGUACUGGUCUGAGAGGAUGAUCAGUCACACUGGAACUGAGACACGGUCCAGACUCCUACGGGAGGCAGCAGUGGGGAAUAUUGGACAAUGGGCGAAAGCCUGAUCCAGCCAUGCCGCGUGCGUGAAGAAGGUCUUCGGAUUGUAAAGCACUUUAAGUUGGGAGGAAGGGCAGUAAGUUAAUACCUUGCUGUUUUGACGUUACCAACAGAAUAAGCACCGGCUAACUUCGUG